UACGGAGGGUGCGAGUGUUGUCCGGAAUCACUGGGCGUAAAGGGCGCGUAGGCGGUCCGGUAAGCGCGUGGUGAAAGCCCGGGGCUCAACCCUCGGAUGCCGGUGGAUACUGUCGGGCUUGAGUACGGAAGAGGCGAGUGGAAUUCCUGGUGUAGCGGUGAAAUGCGCAGAUAUCAGGAGGAACACCAAUUGCGAAGGCAGCUCGCUGGGACGUUACUGACGCUGAGACGCGAAAGCGUGGGGAGCAAACAGG
rnacentral:rRNA from 1 species